UGCUUUUCCGCUGACGAGUGGCGCACGGGUGCGUAACGCGUAUACAAUCUACCUUUCGCUGUGGGAUAGCCCAGGGAAACUUGGAUUAAUACCGCAUAGUAUAUGGGAGUGGCAUCACUACCAUAUUAAAGGUUACGGCGAAAGAUGAGUAUGCGUUCUAUUAGCUAGAUGGUAAGGUAACGGCUUACCAUGGCAACGAUAGAUAGGGGCCCUGAGAGGGGGAUCCCCCACACUGGUACUGAGACACGGACCAGACUCCUACGGGAGGCAGCAGUGAGGAAUAUUGGACAAUGGGCGCAAGCCUGAUCCAGCCAUGCCGCGCGCAGGAAGACUGCCCUAUGGGUUGUAAACUGCUUUUAUACGGGAAGAAACACCCCCUCGUGAGGGGGCUUGACGGUACCGUAAGAAUAAGGAUCGGCUAACUCCGUGCCAGCAGCCGCGGUAAUACGGAGGAUCCAAGCGUUAUCCGGAAUCAUUGGGUUUAAAGGGUCCGUAGGUGGAUGAUUAAGUCAGAGGUGAAAUCCUGCAGCUCAACUGUAGAAUUGCCUUUGAUACUGGUUGUCUUGAGUUAUUAUGAAGUAGUUAGAAUAUGUAGUGUAGCGGUGGAAUGCAUAGAUAUUACAUAGAAUACCGAUUGCGAAGGCAGAUUACUAAUAAUAUACUGACACUGAUGGACGAAGGCGUGGGGAGCGAACAGGAUUAGAUACCCUGGUAGUCCACGCCGUAAACGAUGGUCACUAGCUGUUCGGACUUCGGUCUGAGUGGCUAAGCGAAAGUGAUAAGUGACCCACCUGGGGAGU
rnacentral:rRNA from 1 species